rnacentral:snRNA from 1 species
AUACUCUGGUUUCUCUUUGGCUCAUAUAAAUCUUUUGUCUUUUACUAAAGAUUUCUGUGGUGAGGAAAAAUUCUGAGUCUUAACUCAGUUUUUUGAGCCUUUGCAUCUGCAAGGCU